CCACCUCCUAGUACCAUCACCCUGUGGGGUAUCGUUUCAGCAUAUGAAUUUGGAGGAGACACAAAUAUUCAGUCUGAGGCAAGCUAUCCAUUCUUUUUUUUUUUUUUUUUAAGAUUUAUUUAUUUAUGCAUGAGAGACACAGAGAGAGAGGCAAAGACACAGGCAGAGGGAGAAGCAGGCUCCCUGCAGGGAGCCUGAUGCAGAACUUGAUCCGGAACCCCAGGAUCACACCCUGAGCUGGACGCUCAACCACUGAGCCAGCCAGGCAUCCCCAGGCUAGCCAUUCUAUACUGAGUUUUCCUUAUUUUCAAUAGCAACUCAAGUCAUCCUGGAGAACUCUCAGCAAAUGCACGUUAUAACCACUGCCCGCAUCAUGUGCCAACAACACCAUAAGCCGUGUUCUUGAGCCUCAGCCGAACUCCUAUAAUCCUCGAGCCAGAGCGCUGCACCGAGCACUGGGAACCCACAUGCCUUAAGAUCCUUCCAAUUACUGGUUGCCUUGGCCAUGUCAUCACCAACCUUUUUUGGAGACAGACCCAGCGGGCCGAUCUUCGGGCAGACGUGGCACCGACCUCACCACCAGUGCACCUCAGAUGCCCCUCUAUUACAUCUCUUGAGACAGCUGAAGAAAGAUCUUGCCCCACUCUGAGCACACACAGACGAGUCUGCCCCCGUGUGACUACCAGGCCACCAGGGCCUCCUGCAACCCAUCGUGGACCUGUUUGAGAAUCGCCCCACAUCCAAGUGACACAAAACCAGAACAGUAACCCAUCUGAAGAGAGACUUCAAGCUUCACUUUUGAAUCAACUGGAAAUUUGGACAAAACUUCUGUUGACAUAUCUGCCUCUUUCACUUUCAGUUCAAGGAGACUCAGUGACCUUUUUUAAAGGAUGUGACUCUCUUUGCCUGGCAAACAAUAAAUUCCUGUCUAUACAUUUAGACGACUCUGGU
rnacentral:lncRNA from 12 species